UAUUUGGUUUUCUAGGGUUCCGCAGCUUGUUCAAGCUGGUCAGGUCCGAGGGAAAACGCACGGAUCAAGAGAUUCGUGUUCACACGGAGGGAUAAAAGCCCGGGAGGA
rnacentral:sRNA from 2 species